GAAGUACUCCCUCCGUCCCAAAAUAAGUGACUCAACUUUGUACUAAAGCUAGUACAAAGUUGAGUCACUUAUUUUGGGACGGAGGGAGUAUUUU
rfam:Triticum aestivum genome assembly, contig: Triticum_aestivum_CS42_TGACv1_scaffold_570590_7AS